rnacentral:rRNA from 1 species
UCUUCCCUCUGGCGGCGUGCCUAAUACAUGCAAGUCGAACGAAACUUCUUUAUCACCGAGUGCUUGCACUCACCGAUAAAGAGUUGAGUGGCGAACGGGUGAGUAACACGUGGGCAACCUGCCCAAAAGAGGGGGAUAACACUUGGAAACAGGUGCUAAUACCGCAUAACCAUAGUUACCGCAUGGUAACUAUGUAAAAGGUGGCUAUACUACCGCUUUUGGAUGGGCCCGCGGCGCAUUAGCUAGUUGGUAGGGUAAAGGCUUACCAAGGCAAUGAUGCGUAGCCGAAUUGAGAGGUUGAUCGGCCACAUUGGGACUGAGACACGGCCCAAACUCCUACGGGAGGCAGCAGUAGGGAAUCUUCCACAAUGGGCGAAAGCCUGAUGGAGCAACGCCGCGUGGGUGAAGAAGGUCUUCGGAUCGUAAAACCCUGUUGUUAGAGAAGAAAGUGCGUGAGAGUAACUGUUCACGUUUCGACGGUAUCUAACCAGAAAGCCACGGCUAACUACGUG